AUGCAUUCUCUCCUGACUCUGGCCAAGUCACCUGUAAGUCCUGGGUUAUCUGUUUGGCUCUCCCUUGGGAACAUGCUAGACUCUGGUUGUAUACAGGAGCAGGGAAAUUUUAAACAAGCGUUAGGCCUGUACUGUUUUCUGCAUUGGGGGAGGGCUCUGCUCCCUGAACACCCAUGCAGUAGGAGAACCAAGGGGGGUUCCUUUUCACUGCAGUUUUCUCCCUGUGCUCUCUUGCAUGCCUUCAAGGGAGGAUUAUGUUUGACGCCCUUUCUUCCCAUGAAAAAAUGCGGCCUCCUUUCUUACAAGACCUGCCCAAGAUCAAAUCACUGGAUCCAGCCUGGUAGAAUGGCCCUCAUCAAGGACAUGAUGCUGACAUGGCAGAGGAAGAAAGAACAGAGGCAGAACUUUGUGGUGGCUCCUAAAGUUUUGGCUUAAAGUACUUGUCACAUCUGCUCAUGUUCCACCAACUAAUACAAGUCACAUAGUAGGGAGGUAUAAUCUACACAGCAGUGCACUACAAGCCAUAGGUGUGGGCAGGGAUUUAUAAUCAAUGCUCUUAUAGGUUGGGGAGUGAUAAUGGGGAACAGUAUUGCAGGCAGCUAAGAGAGAGAAUGUGGGAAUGCAUUGGAUAUUACCUCAUGAAACUGAACGUUUGAAUAUCCAUUGACCCAGCCAUGUUACCUGUAGGUGCACAGCCUAGAGAGGCUCUUGCCUAUGGGUACCAUGAGAUGUGUAUGAAAAUGUUUGCAGUAGCAUGUGAGUACAGCACAGAUACGUCAAUAAUGCGAACAACUCCAGUGUCUGUAGGCAGGCCAAUGGAUAUGUAAACUAGGAUAUAUUUAUACAAAGGAAUAUUAUAUAGCAAAUAAAAUGAACAAAUCUCAGCUAUCCAGAACAACAUGGCUGUGUCUUAGAAAGAUAAUAUUGAGUGAAAUAAGCAUGUCUGCAGAAGGCUACCUGUAGUAUGAGUCCAAUUUUAUCAUUCAUUUACAUGAGAAAACAUGUACAAAACCAAUAAAGGAAUGAUAUGCAUAACAUUCAAGAUUUGGCUUCUUUGGUUUGGGGAAAAUGUGGGAUGGGAUAGGUGGAUGCAAAUUACUGGUGAUGUUCUAGCUUUUCAGUUGACUGCAGAGUUGAGGGGCCGUUAUUUUUAUAUUACAUAUUUUAACUUAUAUGUGUUACAUUCAUUCUUUUCUCUACCAAAUAUUUCUAAAAUGUAACUAGAAAGAAUGCAAAAAAUAAAAACUAGGAAAGGAAAUAAUUUAAAAACAGGCAAAAGUGAUUAUGGAAACUUUUAUAAGCUAGCUUAUAAAAGCAGGAUUCCUGGAAGCAAACUUAGGAAAAGUCAUUUUUGUGCAGAGUCUAGAGAUCUGGAAUUACAAGUGGGGGCACUGAGUAUUGUAGGUCCUCUAGAUAGGCCACAGGCCGUGGGCAGCUCAGAUCACUGGGCCUUCUCACACCAUGAGAGGAUCUACAUCCCAUUGGCCCCAAUAUCACACUUAUCAAGCCACUUCAGGGGCUGAGAUGCUCACGGGGGCCCUGCUUAUAGGGAUGGGCACUCCAGUUUUACAAAGAGAGGGCCGCCACUCUGGAUGGAUACAUUGGCCGUCACAUUUGUCCAAAAGUGUUCUGAUUUAACUGUCGCCAAGAGUUUGGUCCUCCCUGGGUGUCUGAAGAAGGCCUCAAUUUGGCCUUAUAAAGUUGAAGGGGCCAGAUGGGUGGUGACAUUUGCCCCCUCUCCCGACCACCCCCGGAUUCAGUGCUGACUACCCCCACAGAAGCUGCAUUCUGCUGGAAGACUUCCUCACCUGCUUUCCAAUCUCGGGACAGGAGGAGGAAGGUUCCAAUGGGAGGUUCUGGGUCUCUACCUGAAUAACCCACAAGCGUCUGUCCCCAGGUGGCUCCCUGCUUUCUUGGGCUGAGUGAGGCAUAUUAUUGAGAAAACCUGUCCUGCUUUGGUAAUUCCAGGGGCCCAACUGUUAUGUGAAUCUCUCCCUCGGACAGACGGAGGGAGAGAGAAGGGGGCUGAGAGGGGCCUGGAAAUGAGUCACAGCAGAAACCAGAGAGCAGGCGAGAACUCUCCUUGCCCACCUGUGGGGAAUCGUGCAAACCCUGUCCUCUGCUCCGUGCUACACAGGCAUGCUUGUGGAUUUGUAUGUAGUUAGGCUCAUUUAGCUUGUUUUAGUUUGGUUGGUUUUGUUUGCAAGUCACAGAAACUCCUCAAAAAAGGGACUUUUUUUUUGGUUAAAUGUAUUUAUACUGGAGUAGGUCUAGCUUUAAGUGGAAUUUGAUUCAGGGUUCAAAAAAUGUCACAGAGCCCUCUUUAGCUCUUGACUCUUCAGCUCUGCUUCCUGGUAUUGGCCUUAUUCUCAGGGUGCUUCUUCCCACUCCCACGUGCCAGGAUUCUCCCAGAAGCUCCUGGGAGUACAUUAAAGUCCAGUAGGAAAGAAAGCUUCUUUAUCCCUGACUCCCCUCCAGAAGCCCUGAAAUUCACUGUUUGGACUCAUGUGGUCACAUGCCCCUUCCUAAGCCAAGCACAGUGACCAGGGAAUGGGAUGCACUGAUUGGCAGAGCCAGGCCACAUCAUCUCCUCUGGAGCUGGCAUAAGCGAUGGGGUCAGCCUCCCUAGAACCUCAUGGGUCCGUUAGUGGAAAUCAAGGGCUAUGAGGAAUAGAAAGGGGGAUUGGAGGCUGAGAGGGUAAUCAACAAACGGUUAUUCUUAUAUACUGAUGCUUUAGCGAAUGAGUCAUUUGCAGAAGCUCUUCGCACUUUAAAGAUAAUGGUUCCUGUGCUAUAUGGGUGGUAAAAGCAUUUUUGCUUUGGUUGUUGGCCUUUUAGAUCUAUGUUGAUUUCUAAAACUUUAAAAAAAGUUUGCUUUUAACCAUGAACAGUUUUGAACAUACACAAAAGCAGAGAGUAGUAUAAUGACACCCUCUCUGCCUUACCCAUCAUCUCAUUUCAACCAUUGUCAUAUGUUGACUUUGACUUUCAGAAGUUUCAAAUUUGUACAUAGUUCAAUCAUGAGUUUUCCAUCGUGGUUCCUUCCACUGUUUUUGUUUAGAAAGAACCUAGAUAAAUAUUCAGCUUUAUUUUCUCUGAUUUUUUAAAAAUAUAAUGCUACAAGGCGAAGCUCUAAAAGGAUUUUUUCUCAGGUAUCCAAUUUCCCCAACUCUGUGUAUUGAAUCAUCCAUUGUGUGCUCACUGGUUUGUGAUGCAGCCUUGAUAUGAUAUUAAGUUCUCACAUAGCGCCUGUUUCUAGCUACACAUUCUGUUUUAUUGACCUGUGUGUUCUUGCACUAACACUACUUUUUAAAAUUUUGUAGAUGUUAAAUAAGUUUCAUAGCCAA
rnacentral:lncRNA from 1 species